rnacentral:lncRNA from 1 species
GGAGUUAUCUUUCUUUGUUCAGAAUAGUAGUUGAAUCAACUUAAAUCAUUGUUUUAUACAAUAUACAAUGUAUAUUCACUUUUAUUACCAACUGAUAAAUUAAAACAAUCUUUACCAUUCAGUGAUAACAAGCACCUUUUGUUACAUUUUGAUAUUUUAUGAUGUAUUUAAAUGAGUAGUUAUUGUUGCAAACUCCAUUAGAAAUUUGAAUUGAGAUCAGUUUUGGAAAAAGGGAAAGGAGGAUGUGAAAAAAAAAUGGGGGGGGGGGGGGGGGGUAUAAAUUUUUCUCAUUUCAGAUUUAAUAAAUAAAAAGAAAAUUUCUUCAAACAUUUUUUUGAGAGGAUUAAUAUUCAACAGCAUAGUGAAUUGCUCAAAGGAAAAAAAAAUAUUUUAAGUUCAUUAGACCACAUUCAUUCUGUGUCAGAAACCUAUGCUGUGUCAACUAUUUAAUCACAAUCCAAAUUUAGAGCUGAAUCCAGCUUGAAUGUUGUGUCCAUACUUGCCCUAACCGUUCAGGGUUCAACCUCUGCGGUCGUAUAAAGCUGCGCCCUGCGGAGCAUCUGGUUAUGGUUUA